rnacentral:rRNA from 1 species
AAGACCUUGCGCUUUUGGAGCGGCCGAUGUCUGAUUAGCUUGUUGGUAAGGUAAAAGCUUACCAAGGCUUCGAUCAGUAGCUGGUCUGAGAGGACGGCCAGCCACACUGGGACUGAGACACGGCCCAGACUCCUACGGGAGGCGGCAGUGGGGAAUUUUGGACAAUGGGCGCAAGCCUGAUCCAGCCAUGCCGCGUGAGUGAAGAAGGCCUUCGGGUUGUAAAGCUCUUUCAGCCGGGAAGAAAAGGUUGCGACUAAUAAUCGCAAUCCAUGACGGUACCGAAAGAAGAAGCACCGGCUAACUACGUGCCAGCAGCCGCGGUAAUACGUAGGGUGCGAGCGUUAAUCGGAAUUACUGGGCGUAAAGGGUGCGCAGGCGGUUUUGUAAGUCAGAUGUGAAAGCCCCGGGCUCAACCUGGGAACU